UAUAUUAUUAAAGCUUAGAAGGAAUCGGUUGCUCAAUCUCCCUCAAACGCUUCCAGCAAUAUGCUACACACUACUCCCCAGCAGUACUGCUGGAAGGUUUGGAGGAGAUUGAACAAAACAUGCCUUGAUGAUGAUGAUGAUGAUGAUAUAUAUAUAUUUUUUAAAGCUUACAAGGAAUUGGUUGCUCAGUCUCCCUCAAACGCUUCCGGCAAUAUGCUACACACUACCCCCCAGCAGUACUGCUGGAAGGUUUGGAGGAGAGUGAACAAAACAUGCCUUGAUGAUGAUGAUGAUGAUGAUGAUGAUAUAUAUAUCGCGAGUAUUUCCAAUGGAACUCAUUGCUCACUCUCCCUCAAACGCUUCCAAAUUUGCGUGUCUUAAGGUCUAAACCGAAGCGCUUGAUGAGAGAGUGGAUACUGGUCACCAUUCUUUCUCCAGCCUGCAUAUUUUUGGCAACCUUAUAUGUAUAUGAGGUUUACGAGAAUUUAAGGUUUGAGUUUGAGGAUAUUAAAAAUGAAAUGAAGAGUUAAAACGAGCAGAACGGAGCAUGGAUCCAAGCCAAACACCCUUGCCCGCUUGCCCUUGUGUUGAGCCUUGAUUCCCUAGCGCCAACAUGCAUGUUCUGUUCGCGCUUUAAGGUAUUUGUGUCUUUUUACAAGUUCUGCAACUUCAAGAUAGCUCUUGUAAUCUAAUUUAGGCUAAUUAAACAAUAUAAAUAGGAUAUUUUGAAAGAGAGUUAGGACCUUUCGCUAUUUUCUGAUAUUAUUUCUUUUUAUUUUAUUAUUGUGUUUUUCGAUUUUGUGGCUUGCUAAACUUCGUUUUUUUAGUCAAAGGACUUUUGAAAUUUGAUUUUAUAAAUUUGUAAGACCUAGUUUGUUCUUAA